rnacentral:lncRNA from 10 species
GAUGCAGACAUGGCUGGAUGUUCUUUGCUGGGCUGCUGAGUCAGAAGCCUGGACGGGCCAGCUUCAGUUUUAAUGAAGUGGCUCAGGAAGGAAGUGCUAACAGAGAUGGGUGCACAGUGCAGUCAGUGGGUGGGAGCUGAUGCUGGCUAGAAGACCUGAGUCUUCCGAGAGGCAGCUUGAUUCCUGGAAAAGACUACUGGGCUGGAAGUCAGGAGGCCUGGGGUACUCUCAGCUCUGCCGCUAACAUGCUGCAUGACCAUGGGCUGACUGGAGAACCUGAGGUGCUGUGCAGAGACCAGAGGAAGGCUUUGAUCCCAAGCCUGCAGCCGUAAGAGAAGAACGAGCCCAUGAGUUCCAGCCUGUGGGUCCUUCCACAUGCUAGUUCCUGUACCUGGAAUGUAUUCUUUCCUGACCCAGAAAAUUCCUUCAGGGCUUCCUCUUCCAGGAAGUCUUCCCUGAGUCUGUCACCUCUUCACCCUCACUCCUUCUGCAUGCUCCCAAAAUCCCCUGCACUUCUCUACUGUGGAUGCUUACCCAGUGCACUGUGGUCCACUCUGGCUUUUGUAUCUCCUUAACUAGCAGCUCUGUCUUUUUCAUUUUGGAUUCCCAGACCUAUCAGAGAGCCUAGUGCUUGCCAAAUGCUGGGAAAAUACUUAUUGAAAGGAUAUUGACUACUCGGUGUUAGCCACAAGGCCCCUCGGACAGUCUUGCCAUAGGAAACAUCAAUGGGAGAACCUUUUGGAAUAUAUAGAGAGAUGCUGUGGGGAACUUAUGGGUUUGUUUUUUUUGUUGUUGUUUGUUUGUUUGGCUAAACUCACAGCAAUAGGUGUUAGAGUCAUACAAGGGUUACAAUAGCACCCAAGAGCCCACUUAUGACUAGAAAUUUCUUCCAGAAUUCCCUUCAAAGCAUGACUCUCCUGCUGUGUUUGGGGUGGGGAGUGUGUGGCAGUGGCGAGGGGACACAAUCCUGCCUCUAGGAUACAACUCUGGAGUGGAUAUGUGCCAAGAAAGCUCACCUUGGGGACCUGGGAUGGAGGUAGGCAUCUGGUAGAAAGGGAGAGUGAGGAUUCUGGGCACACUAUGAAAACUAAUACCAGAAACCAGAUCAAGACACCCAACAUCCCCAUUCCCAACCACACUCAUCUAUGCUGGAGGUGAUUAUCCCCACGCCCCUCCUAUGUUACUCUUCCUGAGCCAUUGGAGUGCCAGAAUAAACAUAACCAACUAGAAGACUUCUGCAGAAUGGAAAAGGAUGGAAGAUUCCAGACUAGAAAGGCCAAGGACAGCAGAUGGACACUGAAUGUUGAGAUUUGUCAGUGGAGUGCUGCAAGACAGGAUGCAAAGUUAUGACAGGUGUCUUUGCUUCUAGAGAGGCUUCGCAGACAUGCAUUCUAUCCCACCCCACCCCGCCCCACCCCCUGGGUGUGUAGGUACUCCUCCUUCUUGUUCCCACAGCACUCUGUGUUCACUUCUACAGUGGUGCUUUUCACACUGUUUAUGAUUGUCUGUCUGCUCAUGUAUUGGUCAGCUUCUCUGAACUGGAAACUCCUGGCAAAGCAGGGACUAUCAUCUUUUUCUUUGUAUCCCCAGGGUCCAGCUCAGCACCUGGCUCACAUUAGGCACUCAGUGAAUGUUGAUGUGAACAAAUGAACUGAUUCAAAGAAGUGUCUCCUGAAGUUGCUUCUUUCCAAUCCAGCUAACAAAUGCAGUAUUCUGAAUGGAGGUACCAGAGAUCACGUCAUCUUCAGCUUUCUGCUGCAGAUCCACAUGAAGAAUCACACAUAUCCUUAAUGUUAGAUAGGACUUUGCAUUGAACACUUUAAAAUGUGAAGUCUGGCUUUGAAGAGGGUGUAUAACACACAUAAUUUACUGUGCAUCAGUCUCACUAAUGGAAAAUAAACAAUAACCCAUAAAUCAU